CGAUGGCAGCGUUUCCUCUCCGGGCCUCUUGUUCCGAGAGCUCUUUGUGCGCAGAGUCUCUGAGAGAGAUGAGGAGCAACGCAGGCCGGCAGGAAGCGUGCGGGUUCUGGGGUUACAGGAGAUGUUAGCCACUGUUUUACUUUGCAGCAGCAAAAACAUGGGAGUUUUCAUAACAAAGUAGUAUGGUUUUAUUUUAAAGUCAUUUUGGGAGUUGGACUACUGUUUCUUUUCUCCAGAGGAUUUCCAUUGCGGACACAAAGAUUUUUCGAUGCGUAACGUCAUUGCUGUACAUUUCUACUUCAUGUGACGCACCUGUUUUAUUUUGUAUAUACCUAGGACACCCCAAGGACUCUGUUAAUGGAAUAAUAAAUAAAAAUGUUUUGUUACACACACAAA